rnacentral:rRNA from 1 species
UACGGAGGGUGCGAGCGUUGUCCGGAAUCAUUGGGCGUAAAGGGCGCGUAGGUGGCCCGGUCAGUUCGUGGUGAAAGCGCGGGGCUCAACCCUGCGUCGGCCAUGAAUACUGCCGCGGCUGGAGCACUGUAGAGGCAGGCGGAAUUCCUGGUGUAGCGGUGAAAUGCGCAGAUAUCAGGAGGAACACCGGUGGCGAAGGCGGAUCUCUGGGCCAUUACUGACGCUGAGGAGCGAAAGCGUGGGGAGCGAACAGG